UGGCUUGCUUCUGGGGACAGCCCCGUGUGAGAGCUGCUAGUGUGGGCUCUGGAAGUUGCUGCUGCAUCUCUUCCCUGGUUCAUAGCCUGGUCCAGGCUCAGACUCAGCAACAGAACUUAGACCCUGGGUCCUGGUUUACAUUAGAAUAUGAGGCAGAUGACAAGAGUAACCGUGCUCCUGACCUUGGGUACUUUGAGUCUUGCUAAGACCUCCCAGCCCAUCUUCAUUGACUCAUACGAAGGACAAGAAGUGAACAUAUCCUGUAACCACACCACAAUAGCUACAAGUGACAAUAUCUUCUGGAAGUUCAGCACUCUGAGCCUGCCCCGGGCUUCCCUGAGAGACACUGCUGUGUACUACUGCAUCGUGGGAGAGGC